rnacentral:sRNA from 1 species
UUUUUUUUGUCAUCAUCUUCUUAUUGAUUUAUAAAUCAGCAGUGUAGUUACAAUGUAUAGCAUAGGUUAUUACAUUAGGAACCCAUAAAUGAUUCAGAAAUAAAGAUUGGUUUUGGAGAGGAGCUUUAGCAAGAAUAUCAGCUGGAGUAUUGUGAUGUCUUUUUAUCCAAUUGAAAUGGAUUGAUUCAAACUUCCUUGACCACCAAUGAAUGUCCCGUAUCCAGUUGUGAACGCCAAAAUGUACCUUGGAUCCGUUAAUUAGGUUAAACAGCAUCUUGUUAUCUCCUUCAAAGCAAACCCGUUUGUAACCAUGACUCCAACAGUGCUGCAUUAAAAUGAUUAGCGCUUGAAUUUCACUCUCCAGAGCACUCUGCUGGAACUGUCAAGGACUCGGCAUAGACUUGACGGUUCGACGCCUAAAGGAGAUAAAUCGGAAAUAUCUCCCGGACGUAAUUUGCCUCUCCGAAACAAAACAACGCAAUGACUAUGUGCGAGACACGUGCUGUGAGUUGGGUUUUAGUAACUUUGUAAUGGUCCCAUCAAUGGGUUUAAGUGGGGGUUUGGUUGUACUUUGGAAGCCUUCUGUUCAUAUUUCUGUUUCUUUCAAUUCUCCUAAUCUUGUAGAUUGUUAUGUUCAAAGUAAUGAAGUGGGUUUUAACU